AUGGAAAUGACGAUCAACCACUCUGGGGCAUGUGUGGUCUCUCUCUGCUUCUUCAUCUCAUGGAAACAUGUUUCUAUGUGCAUGGCUACUCGUCCAGAAAUACCCCAUCGUGGAUCCCCACCAUCUGUGCCCUUUGCCAUCAGACCAGUGGCUGCCUCCUCCUGCCACCCCAGCCCAGCAGCACCAGCAGCACGGCAGGGACACAGCUUUGAGCCCAGGGACCACUGCAGGCAUUGCUGGACCAGCACAAGAGAAAACCAAAGAGCUUGUGCAGUUUGGGAGAGGUAA
rnacentral:lncRNA from 1 species